GCUCGCUUCGGCAGUACGUAUACUAAAAUUGGAACGAUACAGAGAUUAGCAUGGCCCCUGAUCAAGGAUGACACGCAAAUUCAUGAAGCGUUCCAUAUGUUU